rnacentral:tRNA from 1 species
GAGGGUAUAGCUCAGAGGUAGAGUGCAUGCUUAACAGGCACAAGGUCCUGGGUUCAAUUCCCGGUACCUUCA